UCAGCUUUUGCUGGGAGCUUCUACAGGCAGCUGGGUGCAAGCCAUGAUCUGCACAGAAUAGGAGCUACAAACAAAUUUUCUUUGGUUGUUUUGCUUUAUUGAGAUACCACUUGAGAUGGCCCAAGCACUGGAGCCUCAAGUCUUAAGAAUAAACACUGAAUUCUCACAUGUGAUGAAAGCCUGGAAGGAAGAAACAGGGAGGAGGAGAGCAGAAAGUAAAAUGGCAGAUAUGGAACAUUCCAGCGAUCCAUUGGAACACAAAAUUUUAACGUACAGAUUUAUGCAAGAGGGAUGACUGCAAAGUGCAUCGCAUGAGUAGAGUAAGAAGCUGAAAAUUGCUGCUGUUGUAGCUGUCAUACGCACGUUAUUU